CAUCCAUGCUCUUCUUGGGCGUUUCCUCCCUAGACUUCGGCCGCGUCGCGGAAGCGACGCGGUCUUUUUUAUGUUGU
rnacentral:sRNA from 1 species